rnacentral:rRNA from 1 species
UACGUAGGGCGCGAGCGUUGUCCGGAAUUAUUGGGCGUAAAGGGUGCGUAGGCGGCGAGGUAAGUCUGAUGUGAAAUCCCGGGGCUCAACCCCGGAACUGCAUUGGAUACUGCUUUGCUAGAGUACUGGAGAGGGAACUGGAAUUUACGGUGUAGCAGUGAAAUGCGUAGAGAUCGUAAGGAAGGCCAGUGGCGAAGGCGGGUCUCUGGGCCGAUACUGACGCUGAGGAGCGAAAGCGUGGGGAGCGAACAGG